rnacentral:rRNA from 1 species
GAAACGGGUGCGGAACACGUACAGAACCUUCCUUUAAGCGGGGAAUAGCCCGGAGAAAUCCGGAUUAAUACCCCAUAGUAUUAUUAGGUGGCAUCACUUGAUAAUUAAAGAUUUAUCACUUAAAGAUGGCUGUGCGGCUGAUUAGGUAGUUGGUGCGGGUAACGGCCUACCAAGCCAGCGAUCAGUAACUGGUGUGAGAGCACGACCAGUCACACGGGCACUGAGACACGGGCCCG